UCAGUCCUACGGGAGGCAGCAGUAGGGAAUCUUCCACAAUGGACGAAAGUCUGAUGGAGCAACGCCGCGUGAGUGAAGAAGGGUUUCGGCUCGUAAAGCUCUGUUGGUAGGGAAGAAAGAUAGAGGUAGUAACUGGCCUUUAUUUGACGGUAAUUACUUAGAAAGUCACGGCUAACUACGUGCCAGCAGCCGCGGAAAUAAGGAGGUGGCAAGCGUAGUCCGGAUUUAUUGGGGGGAAA
rnacentral:rRNA from 1 species